rnacentral:ncRNA from 1 species
GGGCGCGCUCACGUCACGGGUUGACCGGGAAACCGGACCCAAGAGGGAAUUCGGUGCAAAACCGAAGCUGCGCCCGCAACUGUGACCGGGGAGCCCUUCCUCAACCAAGCCACUGGCGCCUCAGGGUGCUGGGAAGGCGGGGAAGGGCAGCGAUCCGGGAGCCAGGAGACCUGCCCGAAAAGACGGUCGUUCC